rnacentral:snRNA from 1 species
GUGCUCACUUCAGCAACACAUAUGCUAAAACUGGAACAAUACAAAGAAGGUUAGCAUGGCCCUUGUGCCAGGAUGACAUGCAAAUUCAUUAAACAUUCUAUU